GAGGGUAUAGCUCAUUGGUAGAGUGUGUGUUUAGCAUGCAUGAGGUCCUGGGCUCAAUCCCCAAUACUUCCA
rnacentral:tRNA from 1 species